CUACGGGGGGCUGCAGUGGGGAUUAUUGUACAAUGGGCGAAAGCCUGAUGCAGCAACGCCGCGUGCGCGAUGAAGGCCUUCGGGUUGUAAAGCGCUUUUCUGAGGGAAGAGGAAGGACGGUAGCUCAGGAAUAAGUCUCGGCUAACUACGUGCCAGCAGCCGCGGUAAAACGUAGGAGGCGAGCGUUAUGCCGGAUUUACUGGGCGUAAAGCGCGUGUAGGCGGUUUGGUAAGUCGGACGUUAAAGCUCCUGGCUCAACUGGGAGAUGCCGUUCGAAACUGCCAGACUAGAGGGCAGUAGAGGGAGGUGGAAUUCCGGGUGUAGCGGUGAAAUGCGUAGAUAUCCGGAGGAACACCAGUGGCGAAGGCGGCCUCCUGGGCUGUCCCUGACGCUCAGACGCGAAAGCUAGGGUAGCGAACGGGAUUAGAUACCCGAGUAGUC
rnacentral:rRNA from 1 species